AGCGAGAGGCAGAAGUUGCCUGUGUGGCCGAACAGCUCUGGAGUUUUUCGCUCUUAUCUCGGAUUAGGUUUGGCGAAACUCUUUGCAGUUCCCGCUUCUCGGUAGAGACGUAACAGACAGGCUUUGUAUUGAAUAUGAUCGAAGCAUUUUUGGCUUCGGAUGCAAUGCCGCGUAAGAAAUGGUUACUAAGAGAGCUUCGUUCGCAAUAGAAGCAUUGACAGUGAAAAUGGACAUAGUCAAUGGUGAGUGCUCUGCCACUACCCUAUACCCUAAACCCUAAACACUAAACAAAACCCUAAACCCUAAACGAAACCCUAAACCCUAAACAUUAUGCAGCGUCAAUGGUGGGUGUUCUGCCCCUACCCUCUCUGGCAUCAGCUGACUGAAAAAGAAAAAUUUAAAUCAUCGACGCCCUUGGCCGCAUUAGGACGGGAAUUAAAAGAAAUGGCAGGACGAGAGCAAAGAGAAGGCAAAAGGGUAAAGAUAGUGGAGAAUUUUUAUAACAAAAAAGGUCUAGCAAGGGUUAGAAGAAAACAUGCCAGGGAGAUUAGGCCGUAAAAAAAAGCCUAAAAUAUUCUCCCAAGACAUUUAUUUUACUUGAGUUGUGCUCUCAUGCAUACUUCCCACACUAAUAUUUUUAAUUCUCAAAAUACCUCACUAUAAGAAUAAAUAGGGUUCCUCACUAUAG